ACGCUCGACACCUACGGGAGGCAGCAGUUGGGAAUAUUGGACAAUGGAGGAAACUCUGAUCCAGUGACGCCGCGUGAAGGAAGAAGGUCUUCGGAUUGUAAACUUAUUUUGUCAGGGAAGAAAAAAUGACUGUACCUGAAGAAAAGCACCGGCUAACUACGUGUCAGCAGCCGCGGUAAUCUGAGCGGGCUGGCAAGGC
rnacentral:rRNA from 1 species